rnacentral:rRNA from 1 species
ACGCUGGCGGCAGGCUUAACACAUGCAAGUCGAACGGUAACAGGAAUUAGCUUGCUAAUUUGCUGACGAGUGGCGGACGGGUGAGUAAUGCUUGGGAAUCUGGCUUAUGGAGGGGGAUAACUACGGGAAACUGUAGCUAAUACCGCGUAAAAUCCUCGGAUUAAAGGGUGGGACUUUCGAGCCACCUGCCAUAAGAUGAGCCCAAGUGGGAUUAGGUAGUUGGUUAGGUAAAGGCUGACCAAGCCGACGAUCUCUAGCUGGUCUGAGAGGAUGACCAGCCACACUGGAACUGAGACACGGUCCAGACUCCUACGGGAGGCAGCAGUGGGGAAUAUUGCACAAUGGGGGGGACCCUGAUGCAGCCAUGCCGCGUGAAUGAAGAAGGCCUUCGGGUUGUAAAGUUCUUUCGGUGACGAGGAAGGUUGAUAGGUUAAUAGCCUAUCAAAUUGACGUUAAUCACAGAAGAAGCACCGGCUAACUCCGUGCCAGCAGCCGCGGUAAUACGGGGGGUGCGAGCGUUAAUCGGAAUAACUGGGCGUAAAGGGCACGCAGGCGGUGACUUAAGUGAGAUGUGAAAGCCCCGAGCUUAACUUGGGAAUUGCAUUUCAUACUGGGUCGCUAGAGUACUUUAGGGAGGGGUAGAAUUCCACGUGUAGCGGUGAAAUGCGUAGAGAUGUGGAGGAAUACCGAAGGCGAAGGCAGCCCCUUGGGAAUGUACUGACGCUCAUGUGCGAAAGCGUGGGGAGCAAACAGGAUUAGAUACCCUGGUAGUCCACGCUGUAAACGAUGUCGAUUUGGGGAUUGGGCUUUGAGCUUGGUGCCCGUAGCUAACGUGAUAAAUCGACCGCCUGGGGAGUACGGCCGCAAGGUUAAAACUCAAAUGAAUUGACGGGGGCCCGCACAAGCGGUG